AAUCAACGCUGGCGGCGUGCCUAACACAUGCAAGUCGAACGCGAAAGGGGCUUCGGCCCUGAGUAGAGUGGCGAACGGGUGAGUAACACGUGGGUGAUCUACCUUCGAGUGGGGGAGUAACGUCCCGAAACGGGACGGCUAAUACCGCAUGACGUUCCGGGUUUAAAGACCAGGAAACCAAAGCCGGGGACCGGCAAGGCCUGGCGCUUGAAGAGGAGCCCGCGUCCGAUUAGCUAGUUGGCGGGGUAACGGCCCACCAAGGCGACGAUCGGUAGCCGGCCUGAGAGGGCGGGACGGCCACACUGGGACUGAGACACGGCCCACGACUCCUACGGGAGGGCAGCAGUGGGGAAGUUGUUCACAAUGCGCGCAAGCCUGAUGACGCAACGCCGCGUGGGG
rnacentral:rRNA from 1 species